AAAAAAGCAAAAGUAGUUCCUGUCUUCUUCAUGGAAUUGGAAGGUGAGACAAUUGAAAUAGCAAACAUGUUCACUUUUCUAGCCUACUUUUUAUAAUAUACAUUUACAAAGAAACUCACAUGUCAGCCCUCUGUGCUCAAGCUUACUACCCCUUACUAUGAACCUGAUAGUUACGGCAUUUCUUUUCUUUCUUUUUUUUUUAAUUAAUUAAUUUAUUUAUGAUAGACAUGGGGAGGGGGGCAGAGACACAGGAGGAGGGAGAAGCAGGCUCCAUGCUGGAGCCCAACGUGGGACUCGAUCCUAGGACUCCAGGAUUGCGCCCUGGGCCAAAAUCAGGCGCUAAACCGCUGAGCCACCCAGGGAUCCCCACGGCAUUUCUUUUAUUAGAAGUCCACGGUCCCAACUUUUUCCUAAAUGUUUUACCACUAUCUUUUUUUUUAAAACAAGUAGAAGAGGGGAGGUCCUUAUAUUUAAGACCUGUGCUUGCCAAUUUCAGCAAGUUCUGUGACAGAGAAUAGAAGAAUGAAGGAAGGUGACUUACAUUGCCAGAUAGGGUUCGUAAAGGGUGGGCAAAGAAAUGUGUCAGAGAGAGGAAGACAUCUUUUACAAAGAUAUAGACACAUAAGAACAUAUAGUGUAUUAAUACAAGUAGAUCAAUAUUGUUGGGUAAUAUCCAGUUUAAGACAAACAAGUUUGCAUUAGGAUGGUUAGAGGUGGGACCAGAUUAGGAACAUCUUGUGUACUGUGCAUAGGAGUUCAGAUUUUAUUCUAUAGAAUAGUACUUUAAAAAGUUUUGCAGAAUCACUUGGUUGCCCAUUCUUUCUGUAUACACUAUUCUCUCCCUUUCUCCAGUUGUCUCUCACAAGCUCUUUCUUUACUUAAUAUCUUGCCUUCAUUUGAGCAAGGGCUUCAGCAUGUAAAAUGUUUGGAAACUGCCACUUAGGUGUUGACAUUUCAUGUUCUGGCAGCAGUAUAGAGGGUAGGUGAGAGGCAUGGCAUACAGAAGAUGUGAAGAUCGCUAGGGAUGUGAUUCAAAUAGUUUGGAGGAAGAGGCACAUAGUAUCUGCUUAUUAAACAGCACUAGAGAAGGGGAAUGGAUUGUAGAUCUAUUGAAGAGAUACACUUGGGACUUAGUGAUGAUGUGAGUGGGAGACCAAAUUAUCAGGACAAAGCAAAGGUAAUUUGUAGCAGAAGUGGGAACCAGAAUGUUGUCCAGAUUUUUCCCUCUUUACCACCUUUUUUUAAACUUUCAAAAAAGUCCCAAGUACACUAUUAAGAACUUACUUAGCCCCAGAACCAUUUGAUAACUUGUCAACAGGAUGCACCAUCACCCCUAAACUCUUGAGCAUGCAUUUCUUUUUCUUUUUCUUUUUUUUCUUUUCCUUUUCCUUUUCCUUUUUCUUUUUUUAACCUUUCAGUUUAUUGUGGUACUUUUUAGAAAAGACAACAUGUUGACAAAGCCAUAACCAAAAGCUUUAACCAUUGGAGCAAAAAACUAAUCCUGCCAACUGGUUAAUUGGGUAAGACAUGGAAGCCCACAAUUUUUGAUAAGCUGACUUGAAAAUGCCAUUUAAAUAAGGUAUGACUGGAGUAAAUACAAACACCCGUAUUUUGAUGGAGAAAUAAAAUACACAAACCAGGAGAAGUACAUUUAUUAUGAAAUGUUAAAAUGACUUGCAAAAGAUCUCACCAGGUAUUUUACAAAAUAAAAGAAAAA
rnacentral:lncRNA from 1 species